GUUUUGUUAACCCAUUUACUGGCAGUACCCUAUACCACUGACGAGUAAAAUCUUCUGGCGCUCGACAAGGAAAGGGCGCAUUGCCAGCUAAUGGAUUAAACCACCGUGGUUAAACAUAAGAUUUCAUGAUGCUCCAGGAAAUGUAAACAAGCUAUCAGUGUGACAUCCCAGUUUAUAUAUUUAUAUACUCGGAAUAUUGAUUUCUCGGUACAUACAAAAUUAUUUAAAAGUAUAACAACCAGCGAAGACGUAAGGCACUAACUACCCUGCGCGGCUGCGCGCAGACUAUAUAAUGACAUAUAUAUGUCAUCCGUCCGGUCCGUCCGUCAUUCAUCCGUCCGUCCGUAUCCGCGUUUUAUCCUAACCCGUUUUUAAAACACAAAGUUUGCAUUUAAUCUAUGAUUAAGGCAGUGCGGUUCGUCAUGAUCAAUAUUUUCAAAAGCGGCCAAUUAGACCAGGGGUUAAAGGGCAAUGACAAUGACAUGCAGGUGACAUUUAGGGGCCAUUCACAAAGGAUGUCCGAGC